GGCAGUCUCGGCCCUAAACGAUGAUCACUAGGUGUCGGGGGGUUUCCCUCGGUGCCGCAGCUAACGCAUUAAGUGAUCCGCCUGGGGACUACGGCCGCAAGGUUGAAACUCAAAGGAAUUGGCGGGGGCCCGCACAAGCGGUGGAGCAUGUGGCUUAAUUCGAUGCAACGCGAAGAACCUUACCCAGGCUUGACAUGUAUCUGCAAGCUCCCGAAACGGAGUCGCCUUCGAGGGUGAUACACAGGUGGUGCAUGGCUGUCGUCAGCUCGUGUUGUGAAAUGUUGGGUUAAGUCCCGCAACGAGCGCAACCCUCACGGUCUGUUACCAGCGGGUAAUGCCGGGGACUCGGACUGAACUGCCUCUGUAAAGAGGAGGAAGGUGGGGAUGACGUCAAGUCAUCAUGCCCCUUACGCCUGGGGCUGCACACAUGCUACAAUGGCCGGUACAAAGGGUUGCUAACUCGCAAGAGGGUGCUAAUCCCAAAAAGCCGGUCUCAGUUCGGAUUGGGGUCUGCAACUCGACCCCAUGAAGCUGGAAUCGCUAGUAAACGCCGGUCAGCCAUACGGCGUUGAAUACGUUCCCGGGCCUUGCACACACCGCCCGUCACGUGACGAAAGUUGGUUUUACCCGAAGUCGGUGCGCUAACCGCAAGGAAGCAGCCGCCGAAGGUAGUGCCGAUGAUUGGCGCGAAGUCGUAACAAGGUAGCCGUAUCGGAAGGUGC
rnacentral:rRNA from 1 species